ACUCCUACGGGAGGCAGCAGUGGGGAAUAUUGCACAAUGGGCGCAAGCCUGAUGCAGCCAUGCCGCGUGUGUGAAGAAGGCCUUCGGGUUGUAAAGCACUUUCAGUUGUGAGGAAAGGUUAGUCGCUAAUAUCGGCUAGCUGUGACGUUAGCAACAGAAGAAGCACCGGCUAACUCCGUGCCAGCAGCCGCGGUAAUACGGAGGGUGCGAGCGUUAAUCGGAAUUACUGGGCGUAAAGCGCGUGUAGGUGGCUUGUUAAGCCAGAUGUGAAAGCCCGGCGUCAACCUGGGAACUGCAUUUGGAACUGGCAGGCUAGAGUUUUGUAGAGGGUGGUGGAAUUUCCAGUGUAGCGGUGAAAUGCGUAGAGAUUGGAAGGAACAUCAGUGGCGAAGGCGGCCACCUGGACAGAUACUGACGCUGAGGCACGAAAGCGUGGGGAGCAAACAGGAUUAGAUACCCUGGUAGGACAGU
rnacentral:rRNA from 1 species